GCCCGGUUAGCUCAAUCGGUAGAGCGUGAGACUCUUAAUCUCAAGGUUGCGGGUGAGUGGCAAGAAAAAAACAUAAUAAGUAUCAACGAGUACUAAUCCUAGCGCCUAGGUUCGACCCCCGCAUCGGGCU
rnacentral:tRNA from 1 species